rnacentral:rRNA from 1 species
AUUGAACGCUGGCGGCAUGCCUUACACAUGCAAGUCGAACGGCAGCGGGGGAGAAGCUUGCUUUUCCUGCCGGCGAGUGGCGAACGGGUGAGUAAUACAUCGGAACGUGCCCUGUAGUGGGGGAUAACUAGUCGAAAGAUUAGCUAAUACCGCAUACGACCUGAGGGUGAAAGUGGGGGACCGCAAGGCCUCAUGCUAUAGGAGCGGCCGAUGUCUGAUUAGCUAGUUGGUGGGGGAAAGGCCUACCAAGGCGACGAUCAGUAGCUGGUCUGAGAGGACGAUGAGCCACACUUGGACUGAGAGACGGCCCAGACUCCUACGGGAGGCAGCAGUGGGGAAUUUUGGACAAUGGGCGAAAGCCUGAGCCAGCAAUGCCGCGUGUGUGAAGAAGGCCUUCGGGUUGUAAAGCACUUUUGUCCGGAAAGAAAUGGCUCUGGUUAAUACCUGUGGUCGAUGACGGUACCGGAAGAAUAAGGACCGGCUAACUACGUGCCAGCCGCCGCCGUAA